GUACGGGAGGCAGCAGUGGGGAAUAUUGGACAAUGGGCGAAAGCCUGAUCCAGCAACGCCGCGUGAGGGAUGACUGCCUUCGGGUUGUAAACCUCUUUCAGUAGGGACGAAGCGCAAGUGACGGUACCUACAGAAGAAGCACCGGCCAACUACGUGCCAGCAGCCGCGGUAAUACGUAGGGUGCGAGCGUUGUCCGGAAUUAUUGGGCGUAAAGGGCUCGUAGGCGGUUUGUCGCGUCGGGAGUGAAAACUCAGGGCUUAACCCUGAGCCUGCUUCCGAUACGGGCAGACUAGAGGUAUGCAGGGGAGAACGGAAUUCCUGGUGUAGCGGUGAAAUGCGCAGAUAUCAGGAGGAACACCGGUGGCGAAGGCGGUUCUCUGGGCAUUACCUGACGCUGAGGAGCGAAAGUGUGGGGAGCGAACAGGAUUAGAUACCCCGGUAGU
rnacentral:rRNA from 1 species